rnacentral:rRNA from 1 species
CCUACGGGGGGCUGCAGUAGGGAAUAUUGGACAAUGGGUGCGAGCCUGAUCCAGCCAUGCCGCGUGCAGGAAGAAGGCGUUAUGCGUUGUAAACUGCUUUUGCCAGGGGAUAAAAUAACUGUGCGCAGUUGAUUGAAGGUACCUGGUGAAUAAGCCACGGCUAACUACGUGCCAGCAGCCGCGGUAAUACGUAGGUGGCAAGCGUUGUCCGGAUUUAUUGGGUGUGUAGGCGGCCUAGUCGGCCCUGUAAGAAAUGUCUCAGCUGAACUGAGAGGGUGCCAUUGAUACUGCGGGGCUUGAGUACAGAUGAGGUAGGCGGAAUUGACGGUGUAGCGGUGAAAUGCAUAGAUAUCGUCAAGAACACCGAUAGCGAAGGCAGCUUACCAAGCUGUAACUGACGCUGAGGCACGAAAGUGUGGGGAUCAAACAGGAUUAGAUACCCUUGUAGUC